rnacentral:sRNA from 1 species
CAAAACAAAAGCAACAGCUAAAAAAACAACAUUUGAAAAAUGCAAUGAUAAGAUUAAUAAUCUCAAGUAGCCUAAAAUUGAAUGUGUUACGCUCCCCGAACCACCGCUUAAAAUUCCUAGUCAUGGUUAAACACUAGAUUAAUCUCCAACUUGGGCAACUUGUCCACAUCAAUGCCAUCAUCAAUAGAGACUCCUGUCGCUUGGCUCAGCUCCAGCAUUUCCUUAAACUGAUAAUUGCAGGGCAAA